rnacentral:rRNA from 1 species
CCUACGGGAUGCAGCAGUGAGGAAUAUUUGGCAAUGGAGGCAACUCUGACCCAGCCAUGCCGCGUGAGUGAAGACGGUUUUCUGAUUGUAAAGCUCUUUCGGAUGUGACGAUGAUGACGGUAGCAUCUAACGCAGCCCCGUCUAACUUCGUGCCAGCAGCCGCGGUAAUACGAAGGGGGCAAGCGUUGUUCGGAAUUACUGGGCGUUAAGGGAGUGUAGGCGGUUUAGUAAGAUAGUGGUGAAAGCCCAGAGCUUAAAUUUGGAAUUGCCAUUAUAACUAUGAGACUAGAAUUACAGAGAGGAGAGUGGAAGACCCAGUGUAGAGGUGAAAUUCGUAGAUAUUGGGUAGAACACCAGUGGCGAAGGCGACUAUCUGGCUGUACAUUGACGCUGAGGCUCGAAAGCAUGGGGAUCAAACAGGAGUAGAUACCCGGUAGUA